CUACGGAGGGUGCAAGCGUUAUUCGGAAUCACUGGGCGUAAAGGACGCGUAGGCGGGUUGGCAAGUCAGAUGUGAAAUCCUACAGCUUAACUGUAGAACUGCAUUUGAAACUGCUAACCUAGAGUAUGGGAGGGGGAGAUGGAAUUAGUGGUGUAGGGGUAAAAUCCGUAGAUAUCACUAGGAAUACCAAAAGCGAAGGCGAUCUCCUGGAACAUAACUGACGCUAAGGCGUGAAAGCGUGGGGAGCAAACAGGAUUAGAAACCCUAGUAGUCC
rnacentral:rRNA from 1 species